rnacentral:lncRNA from 1 species
CCAGCACUGCUGGACCCAUCUAGUCCGUUCCUCACACUCGCGGACUGGAGGCUCCAGGCUGCACAACCACCAACUGAGUUCAUUAGUUUCUGUUUGUUCUCAGUAAUAUCCAGCUCAAUAGAUUGUCACCAACCAUGUGCCUAAAGCUAACUGUGUCAAAAAGAGCAUGCUUCGAGGGGCUGGAGUGAGCAAUUCAACUUGUGGAGAAAUAAGAAAUAAUAGUGUUGAGACAAGAAACAUAAAACCGCAGGCUGCAGCAUAUCAUGAGUGAUGAGAUCUGUGUACAGGUGACUGACCUUUACCUGGCAGAAAAUAAUAAUGGGGUCACCGCAGGCCAGCCGAACACACAGAACUCAAGAAGCCUCCUGGAGUCAACGUAUCCACAGAAAGCCAAGCAGCUAAUGUCAGAUGAGAAAUGCUGUAAGCUUACUCUUCCACUGUUCGCCUGUCUCAGCAGCUUGAGCCAGCUGCCCCUACACAUAGCUGCGCAGCCAGCUCUCUCUUGCCUUCAGGGUCAGCAGCUUAACUCCUUCUCUCUCUGGGCAUGAGCAAGCCCAGCUGUGUCCUGGCUCCCUCCCAUCUGCCUGCAAGAUGGACAGCUUUGGCUCUCUCUUUCUCUGGGUGCCAGUGUGCUCGUCAUGUCAAGCCAUGUUAAGCCAAACUGAGCCAAGCCCCGAAGAGCCAUGUCUCUUAUGCACAGCAUCAACAGGGCAGUUAUACCUUUUACAGACAAUAGUGGCAUAAAGCCAGGAAUGAACUUACACAAACAGGUUAUAUUACAAGUGGAGCUGUGUGCUUGCACGCCAAACUCGUGAGUCACGCAGGCCUAGAUAUCCACCUCGGCCUAUUCCUUGACCAAAGCACAUCUAUGUACCUUACUAUGUGGUUUUGUAUGUUGGCCAGGCUGGUCUCAAACUCCUGAACUCAAGUGAUCUGCCCGCUUCAGCCUCCAAGUGCUGGGAUUACAGGUGUGAGCCACUGCAUCUGACCGGAAAGGGUGUAUUUUUGCUCAAUUAGCAACACUUCUGGGUCUUUAAUGUCUUUUCUAUGGCUAUUUGAUAUUCACUUUAUAGAGAAUUAAUGCCUGUAUUGUUGGACAUUUAAGUUGUUUCCAAGUUUUCACCAUUAUAACUGUAUUUGUGUGUAUAUAUUAUAUUCUUGCCAGGCUGUAAGCUUUACUAGCAGAGAGGAAAUUUUAAAGCUUUAAAAGAACACUGAGCUAGAUCUAGCUUCUGGCUCUGUGUGUUUAUUGACC